UGGGGAAUAUUGGGCAAUGGGCGAAAGCCUGACGCAGCGACGCCGCGUGGGGGAUGACGGCCUUCGGGUUGUAAACCUCUUUCAGCAGGGACGAAGCGCAAGUGACGGUACCUGCAGAAGAAGCACCGGCCAACUACGUG
rnacentral:rRNA from 1 species